GGUGACCCAUUGAUUAGCCCGGGCCCUCCGAUCCAGCGACCCUCCCGACGCAAAUUAGGCUCGGGAACCCAUGCUAAAUUUACUUCGGAUGGACGAUCGGUUCUCGGUCUCCCUCACUCGUGUCUCCUCUCCACUUGGUCAACCACAUUGAUUUUUUUUUGCCUGCCUCGGUAUUUGCAAGGACGUUUUUUCUUCUUCUUCUUCUUCUUACACUAUGCAUACUGUAGUCGAUGUUCGUAGUCAAUGAGUAACAGUUUAAGCUGAGUACUACUCCUACUCCAAGCUAGCAAACUAAGCUGAUUUGGUGAACACCACACCAGCUAGCAAAUCAGAUGGGCGUAAUUAAGCUGGGAAACACUCGAAUUUAAGCUGAUUUGGAGAACCUUGUUGGGUUAUUUUGGAGCGUCGAGAUCUCACGG
rnacentral:lncRNA from 1 species